rnacentral:rRNA from 1 species
AUGCCGAGACCCAAGGCAGAGAGGCCCGUGCCGCCGCCGGCCUCCCGCCGGUCCCUCGCGGCGGGCGGGCUGGGCCUGGCGGCCGCGGCGUACGUGGGCGUGGACUACCUCAGCCGCGCGUCCCCCUCGCUGCACGGGCGGCUGCAGCCGGCCAUCUGGGCGGCGCUGGCGCUCGCCACCGCCGCGCGGGCGCCCUUCUACCGCCGCUGGGACGCCGAGAUCCGCGCCGCCCCGUGGUUCCUCGCCGCCAUGCUCCUCAUGCUCGCCGCCCUGCUCUGCGAGGCCAUCUCCGUCCGGUUCGUGUCCAGCGUGCUCGGCCUCCGGUGGCAUAGAUCUACUGCUCCUCUUCCGGACACUGGCCAGUGGCUUCUUCUAGCACUAAAUGAGAGGCUUCCUCAAACCGUGGUUUAUCUAUUGAGAGCCCACAUCAUCAGUCUACAUCAUUAUUUGAUGUUGUUUAUCAUGUUGGGAUUCUCGGCAUUUUUUGACUGCAUCAAAGGCCCUGGCCUUGGAAUAGGCACAAGGUAUAUGUUCGUUAUGGCGGUCGGGCGUUUUCUUCGGACCAUAACAUUUGUUUCGACAAUUCUUCCAUCCGCAAGGCCUUGGUGUGCUGCUGCUCGAUAUAAAAUACCUGACCAUCCUCAUGCUUGGGCACAAAAGUAUUAUGUUCCGUAUGCUUCUGAUCCGCGUGCAAUCCGCAGGGUCAUACUAGUGGAUAUGCCAUAUGCCAUUGUUCAAAAUUAUACUGAUUACUAUAGACCUGAUUGGGCAUAUAUGAACUUCCUAAUAGAUAUAUUGAGGCCCUCUGCCGGAGAGGGGCCUUCGUGGUAUCAUUUGGUGAAUAAAGCCGGUGGUGGUUGCAAUGAUCUUAUGUUUGUUGCUGUCCUGACUGCUAUGGCAUGGACGGAAGCGUACGGGGGAUGGAUAUCAGUGGGAAUAUGGUUUCUAGUCCUGCACAGUGCCCAGAGGGAGAUACGGGAGCGUUAUCAUUAUAGUGCCGACUGCAUUGUAGCAAUUUACAUUGGAAUCCUCUUGUGGCGGGUCACUGGGUUCAUCUGGUCCACGAGGGAUUUAGAUCAAGCCAGAAGACUUGCCAAACUCGACGAGGUUCAGAACAGAUUAUUUCAUGCUGCAAAGGACUCGGACAUCGACGAAAUAAGGGGGCUGCUAAAUGAAGUUGAGAUGGCUGGACAGUCAAAGAGGACCUUCUCACAGGGUGUCAUCUUAUCCUUUGCUGCUUUUAUGAUUACAUUCACCCUCCUGUUUGUUCUCCUUGCAUUCUCACUUACUAGCAAUGGAUGA